rnacentral:rRNA from 1 species
AUUGAACGCUUGCGGCAGGCCUAACACAUGCAAGUCGAACGAGUUGCGGACGGGUGAGUAAUGUCUGGGAAACUGCCUGGUGGAGGGGGAUAACUACUGGAACCGGUAGCUAAUACCGCAUACCAUCAGAUGUUCCCAGAUGGGCUUAGCUUGUUGGUGGGUUAACGGCUCACCAAGGCGACGAUCCCUAGCUGGUCUGAGAGGAUAACCGCCCACCGUGGAACUGAGACACGGUCCAGACUCCUACGGGAGGCAGCAGUGGGGAAUAUUGCCCAAUGGGUGCAAGCCUGAUGCAGCCAUGCCGCGUGUAUGAAGAAGGCCUUCGGGUGUUAAAGUACUUUCAGCGGGGAGGCGUUACCCGCAGAAGAAGCACCGGCUAACUCCGUGCCAGCAGCCGCGGUAAUAC